AAAUCGCGAUAUGUAGUGUGAUCUGCCUAUAGUGAAUCAUCAAAUUUUUGAACGCAUCUUGCACCCCUAGGUAUUCCUGGGGGUACGCCUGUUUCAGUAUCAUUUUAUCUUCUCCCCAUUCACUUGGUGGGAAAAAUCACUUACUGGCCUCGAGUAAUAGGAGAGCUUGUCUCUUUUUUUUGCUUCACGGCUUAAAUAUUUGGUUGCUUUUGACUAGCUAUUACCCUUUGGUAGAUACUCUCUGCUAAAAGCUCCUGGCUUGCCAAAAAAGAUAUCACCAGGUUCCACAGUGGACCAACACCCAAAACACUUGAUCUGAAAUCAGGCGGGAUUACCCGCUGAACUUAA
rnacentral:misc_RNA from 1 species